rnacentral:rRNA from 1 species
GAUGAACGCUGGCGGCGUGCCUAAUACAUGCAGGUCGAGCGAAUGGAUUAAGAGCUUGCUCUUAUGAAGUUAGCGGCGGACGGGUGAGUAACACGUGGGUAACCUGCCCAUAAGACUGGGAUAACUCCGGGAAACCGGGGCUAAUACCGGAUAACAUUUUGAACCGCAUGGUUCGAAAUUGAAAGGCGGCUUCGGCUGUCACUUAUGGAUGGACCCGCGUCGCAUUAGCUAGUUGGUGAGGUAACGGCUCACCAAGGCAACGAUGCGUAGCCGACGUGAGAGGGUGAUCGGCCGCACUGAGACUGAGACACGGCCCAGACUCCGACGGGAGGCAGCAGUAGGGAAUCCUCCGCAAUGGACGAAAGUCUGACGGAGCAACGCCGCGUGAGUGAUGAAGGCUUUCGGGUCGUAAAACUCUGUUGUUAGGGAAGAACAAGUGCUAGUUGAAUAAGCUGGCACCUUGACGGUACCUAACCAGAAAGCCACGGCUAACUACGUGCCAGCCGCCGCAGUAA